rnacentral:rRNA from 1 species
AGCAGCCGCGGUAAUUCCAGCUCCAAUAGCGUAUAUUAAAGUUGUUGCAGUUAAAAAGCUCGUAGUUGAAUUUCGGGGUUAGUAGGUUGGUCAUGCCUCUGGUAUGUACUGGUCUCACUGAUUCCUCCUUCCUGAUGAACCUUAAUGCCAUUAAUUUGGUGCUUUGGGGAAUUUGGACUGUUACUUUGAAAAAAUUAGAGUGUUUAAAGCAAGCUAACGCUUGAAUACAUUAGCAUGGAAUAAUGAAAUAGGACGUUCGAUCCUAUUUUGUUGGUUUCUAGGAUUGACGUAAUGAUUAAUAGGGAUAGUUGGGGGCAUUAGUAUUCAAUUGUCAGAGGUGAAAUUCUUGGAUUUAUUGAAGACUAACUACUGCGAAAGCAUUUGCCAAGGAUGUUUUCAUUAAUCAAGAACGAGAGUUAGGGGAUCGAAGACGAUCAGAUACCGUCGUAGUCUUAACCAUAAACUAUGCCGACUAGGGAUCGGAUGAUGUUAAUUUUUUAAUGACUCAUUCGGCGCCUUA